AUUUAAAUAGCUUAAAGUUGAGAGUUUAAUAUUGAAGAUAUUAAGGUGAUUUUUAAAUCUUUAAAUA
rnacentral:tRNA from 1 species